AGUGGUUUUGGUGGACGUGGAGGCAUGUUCGAGGACGUAUUGCCUCAACAUCUAGGACUUCACUUUUAUGGCGCCGUUGGCUUGCCAUUGGACGAUCGAAUGCGCAAAGCAGUUCCCAACAUUAUAAUAUUCUUUCCUUCUUUUCAUAUAUUUUUUACUACACAUGAAUAAUUUUUAAAUUUGCUUACAUACAAUGCAGCUUAUCAACCCUAUUAGAUGGCUUUUCGUCAACCUCAUUUAAAAAAGUACAUAUCUCUUUUCUUUUCAAGUACCUGUUCGAAACAUAGCACCACGAGAUGCCAUCCCGAUGGUUUUAAUUGCUGCAAUGGGUGGAGUUGCACCAAAUCGGAUAACGUAUGAGAGGCUACCUGUGGAGGCCUGCUUAGAGCAGCUUCAGGUUCAUGGAUACUUUGUGCUAGAUUUUUCAUAUUUUUGAAUAAAGCGUCUCGAGGCGGAAGAAAGCAAUGUUAUUCAGACUACUGGGAGGCUUUGUCAGUUUAAUGAAGAUAACAUUUUCGAAUAAAGCGUCUUGAGGCAGAAGAAAGCAAUGUUAUUCAGACUGCUGGUAGGCUUUGUCAGUUUAAUGAAGAUAACAUGAUCUCCUCCAAGGUACUACCAACGCGGCAAUGAGCUUUUGGGCGAUUCUAGAUCAAGUCAUUGAAGCGAUGGAUGUAACUUACAUGGGUGGAGAGCCAUCUUCACCAGAGGUUUGAAGUUUCAAGCAAAACUCACCUUCUACUGGACAAAUCAGCUUAAAACUCUAUUCUUUGAUAGCUUAACACUCUAUUGUUCGAUAUUUGUAGUACUGUAUGUGUCUAUCAUUGGUAAGCGAAGGAGAAUGCACUUGUUCGUGCUUUAGCUUAUUUUGUUGAAGUUUAGGUUGGACGAUUGGAGACCUUAACUAUCUUCCAUAUCUACAGAAGCGGGUUGGAGGAGCGUGAAUGUGUAAUAUGUAUGGAUGUACCCUUGCCCUUUUCUUAUAGAUUUGAACUUGCACUA